CCUCAGAGCUGAGGUGUCGGCACAGCCAUUUCACACCAGGGAGUCUCGUCUGAAGGACCAAGUGCGAGGCUUCUGCAGGAGGUGCCCUGUGAACAAGUGAAAAAAGACUCAGCACAAAGGGAGAGAUAAAAGGUGCUGUGAUAGUUCCAGGGCUGACCAUAGAAAGCCAAACAGUGAUACCGAAGAGGCGGGUCUGGCUUCUCGCUGCUCAAAAGCCAGUAAAGAGGCCAGGAAGCCAAAGACCCUGACUUGGAAGCUGGUCCCUGGUACUCCCACAUCUCCCAGGAUGAGAUAUUUCCUUCUCCUGCACCACUUGUAACAUGGAGAAUGAAAAAUAGGGACAACCUGAUUAUAAAGCAGAUGAUCUAGAUUUAGGAAGAGUUCUUAUUUAUCUUCCUGGUGUUGUUUCUUAAACUUUGGCAAAGUCUGGUUUCCACUUUUCUGGGCAAAUGUUUUUUAAAAUGUAUUCUGUUUUUAAAAUCAACUCUGCUGUGGGAUUUUAAAAGAAGGAUGUAACUGAGUUCUCAUCUGCUCCCCAGAUGGAUGGCACACGCUUCAUCGCCUUCUAUGGCAUUCUCUCAUCCUGGCUCACAGACUCUGUAAGCCUGCUGCCUCCCCCUUUCUGAAUUUUCCAGACCCAAAGUGGGAAAUCAGGUUUUUCUAUUUUACUUGUAACACAAAAUGAUGGUAUGGGAGUC